AUGCAAGCAUUUUCAAAUUUUUGUCUUGUAAUGCUCAAGCUCUUUAGAGCUGCUUUGACCCUUGCAUUGAGGCAAACAAGUCUGUUUCUCUGGUUUUCCAGUUCUCAGGGGAGGAAAGGGGCUGCCUUACCUGCAGGAGAUCACACCAGGUAUGUUUGUAAAUACUCACAGAGUCCCCAUGAUGUCCUUGGAUUUGAUGCUGGUGCCAGAACCCAUAUAAUUUUGGUUUAUUUAAAUAACUGGUACUCAUGGACUUCAAAUUUUCUGAAGCUGGAGAAGUGCUUUUUCAAAGUGGUCAGUUUUCUGUCUCUGAAGAUUGUGAUCACUUUUGGAGCAGCUUCCUUUGCUUGGAGAUAAUCUCCAGGAUGGGACUUUUAAUGACACUAAUGUAAAAGAUUCUUGGCGACAACUGUGUGGUCGUCUGUAACCAAAAUGUCGAUGCUUUGGACCAGGAUAUCCCAUGAAUGAGACAUGUGACUGGUGGGGGCAUCGCUAGGCCAAAUACAUCUUUAAAGAGUCAGAGGGCUCUAGGCCAUAAAGAUCAAUCCAGAUUGCACCAUCUCUAAAUGUGAUGAUUUGUUCUUGGGGAAUAAGCGUGCCCAAGAGGCUCCCACAGGAGAUCAGGAGCAGAGGUCCGGGCAGGAAGGAUGAGCAGCAUCCCCUCCUUACCUGGAGUGGGUCCCAGAAAAACCAGCUCCAGGGCACUGGGCUGGGGAAGUGAGGGACCUCCCUUGGAGGGGAAGGGUUGUUCCUGCACUGGAUAAGAUGUACGUUGUCAGAAGCACUCCUGAGGCUAAUAGGUACGCUGGCCUGUCGACAAGGAGGAAGGAGAUGCCACACAGAGAGGAGGCCAGAAAGAGAGAUUCCUUGAGCCACUAAAUUAGACUGUCCAGAGGAAGGCCCGGGAAUCUAUUAAGCCAGAACCAGGUGCACAUGGGUGGCUCAGUCAGCUAAGCAUCUCACUCAUGUUUUCAGUUCAAGUCAUGGUAUCAGGGACACGAGAUCCAGCCCCCAUAGGGCUCCUUGCUCAGUGCAGGAUCUGCUUGAGGUUCUUUCCCCCUCUCCCUCACUCCCCCUCUUCUCCUCCCCCCACCUUGUACUCACCCACAUGCGUGCUCUCUCCCUCUCAAAUAAAUACAUAAGUACGUACA
rnacentral:lncRNA from 1 species